CAUCACUGUUUUGCCUUUUCACCCCCUUGUAAGCUUUAGUUCAACUUUUCUCGGCUCUUCUCUGAAGUAGCUGAGACCCUAUUUACUAUGCGAAAAGUGAAAGCAUUUUAUAAAAUUUGGGUAGAAAAUGUUAUCAUAAAGUCAAUGGGGCCUUAAAUUUUCUAUUUCAAAAGAAACAUUUUCAUUGCUUUCAUGAUAAUGAUAUCAAUACAGUAUAGCAUAUUUAAGCUUGCAGGUACUCUUCUGUUAUAUUUUUUUUCUUAUAUGCACAAAAAUAAGUUGGCAACAUAUAAAUUGUUACUCUAAUGCAAAGCAUAAAUUAAGAAGAUGCUAACUUCUUUCCUUCCUUUUUAUUAUUCCGGUGGGGACAAAAUCUGACUUUGUUGUAUGAUCGAGUCCAAAAAUACCCCAAUCGUGUCAGAAAUUUGUAUUUCACUUUUUCUCUUUGUCCUGCGAGCUGUAACCAAAGUGAGUAUAAUUUGCCCUGAUUUUAAUUGAUUGAUCUUGAUAUAUACUUUUCUUCUUUUAGAACUUUCAGUUAAGAAGUAUUCAUGAUGCAAUCUAUGUUUAGGCUGCAGAUUAUCUCGAGGAGGCUGAGUACAAUACAGGUAAUCCUAAUGCGGACCUUAAAACAGAAUCCUUGAUAAAACAGCUUCUUUACAACCCCAAGCUUCAAGUUGCAUGUCCUGUUCCAUUUGAUGAAGCUAAGUUGUGGAAAGGCCAAAGUGGACCUGACCUCAAACGAAAAAUUCAACAUCAAUUCAGAAACAUCAGGGCUCUGCAAAGAAUUUGCCUAGAUCAUGCACUUCAAGGCCCAGUCCAAGGCUGUGAUUUUUCCCUCAAUAUGUUGUAUCACAAAUCACCACACCAAUCUUCUUUGUAAACGCGACAUAUGACUCAUGGCAGAUUAAGAACAUUUUGGCACCAGGUGUUGCUGAUCCUCAAGGGCACUGGCAAUCUGGCAUAGCUGCAAGCCAGAUAUAAACAACUGCUCUUCUAAUCAACUUGAUCUAAUGCAAGGCUUUAGAACACAAUUUCUAAGAGCAAUGAGUGUAGCUUCAAUUUCACGAGUAUUCGACAAGAUCGACAAGAUUCGUUGCGUGUGACCGACUUGAUGAUUCUUUUUGGAAUUACUUCUUGAGUCCUUUUUUUGGUAUUCAUUCUGUCCAAAAGGGUUUCUUUAUCAAAGUCGUGUUGUUUACCCUUCAUUGUUCUCUCAGACUCUCUGAAAAUCUAUAUGAAAUUAAAUGAAUUAACUUUGCCUUUCUUCUACAAUAUGCAGUGGUUGACAUAGAGAGUUGCAACGGGAAUUAAACGCAUUAAUUUUGACGGUCUCUAGUGGCAAGCUUUUGAUACAAAGGGCUAGUAUGUGGUUGCAGAGUAAGCUUUUAAUGGAAUUGUAGCAUAUGUCAUGGCAAUAGCAAAUAGUAAAUCAGCGUCCUUCUGUUCUAGAUACACAAUUUACUACUCAUCUUUCCAAACUGAAGCUAAAAAUUUAUUGGUUAUACAUAAUAAUGAAACUCACGUGUUGUCGAUCAUCAUAAAGAUUUUUGGUCUUCAGAGGAUUAUACCUUCAAGUAGUCACAAUUUUGAGGCAGUUUGGGCUUUGACAAAUAUCGCUUCUGGAACGUCUGAAAACAUUAAGGUGGUAAUUGACCAUGGGGCUGUCCCAAUUUUUGUGAAGCUCCUUGCUUCUUCUAGUGCUGAUGUUCGUGAACACCGGUAUAUUCGACAUAUCUUAACAUACCUUCAUUUACCUUUAAUAUGCAGAA